AUUGAACGCUGGCGGCAUGCCUUACACAUGCAAGUCGAACGGUAACGGGCCUUCGGGUGCCGACGAGUGGCGAACGGGUGAGUAAUGUAUCGGGACGUGCCCAGUCGUGGGGGAUAACGCAGCGAAAGCUGCGCUAAUACCGCAUACGAUCUAUGGAUGAAAGCGGGGGACCGUAAGGCCUCGCGCGAUUGGAGCGGCCGAUGUCAGAUUAGGUAGUUGGUGGGGUAAAGGCUCACCAAGCCAACGAUCUGUAGCUGGUCUGAGAGGACGACCAGCCACACUGGGACUGAGACACGGCCCAGACUCCGACGGGAGGCAGCAGUGGGGAAUUUUGGACAAUGGGCGCAAGCCUGAUCCAGCAAUGCCGCGUGCAGGAAGAAGGACUUCGGGUUGUAAACUGCUUUUGUACGGAACGAAAAGGCUCUGGUUAAUACCUGGGGCUCAUGACGGUACCGUAAGAAUAAGCACCGGCUAACUACGUGCCAGCAGCCGCCGUAACAC
rnacentral:rRNA from 1 species